UCUGCAAAUUAUUAAACCCUAAACCCCCUCAACUGUGCAGGCGCAUUUCAUCAAACACCUCUCACAAUAAAUCAUUCCUAUUCUUUUGUCGUUCAUACUGUUUACAGGAUCAAAGAAACAGUCAUGGCGGACAUGGACCUGGAUGAACUGUUGGAUGGCCCGAGCCAGGUCCCAAACCGACCAUCUCGGUUCGCGCCCAAAGGCUCCAAAUUCAAACCCAGACCCAAAACUGAACCAUCUCAACUGCCACCACCGGCGGCAUCUGAUACUGUGGAGGGAUUACCCGUGCCCAAGAAAGAGGAACCUGGCAUUAAACCUGAUAUCAAACCCGAGUUUGCGAACGAUGGCAAUGAUAUGGAUGUCGAGGUGAAGCCAGAGGUGAAAGAAGAAGAGGGAGAUGAUUUAAUGGAAACGGAAGCUGAAGCUGAGCCUGAUGAUGCAAUUGUUCGCGAAAUUGACGUGUAUUUUACCCCUUCUAUUGAUUCUAAUACUCGGUUGUAUGUGUUGCAAUAUCCGCUUAGGCCCUUGUGGCGGCCAUACGAAUUGGAUGAUAGAUGCGACGAGGUCAGGGUGAAGCCAGCAAGUGCAGAACUGGAGGUUGAUCUGGCUGUUGAUGUUGACUCCAAGAAUUAUGACUCUGGUGCUGAUCCCCGGGUGCAGAUGAAAAAGCAGAUUCUUACUUCAUCAUGGAAGCCACCUCACGCAAGUGGGUAUGCUGUUGGGAUUCUCACUGGAAAUAAGUUACACUUGAAUCCUGUUCAUGCAGUUGUACAACUCCGACCGUCAAUGCAACAUCUUGAUGCUAAAGAUUCUAAAAGGAAGACCAUUAAUGUUGAAGAUAGAGUGAAGUUAGAAGAGCCUCAGGAAGGAAAACCUUCUGGGUCAUCGAAGAAGCUGAGCAAAGUCCCAGAACAGAACAAUGAUAGUGGAGAGGGCUGGAUUCCUCUCAAGUACCAUAGUGCAAAGAGUGAUGUUGCAGCAGGAUACCUACGGAAAAUGAUGUCACGAGGGGGCUCACAGAUCUACUUUUCCAUGAGCUCGUGUGACUAUCUGAACAGCUUGUGUCCCGGCACUUCUAGUGACAGUUUCAGUUCCAAAGGUCCUCCAAGAAGGGCCCUCGAGUUCACCGAUUUGAUGCUCUGAAGUACCUUGCCCCAGACGAGUCGGUUGAAGAAAUUUUAGGGGUCAUACAGGAACAUGCUCGAUUAGUGCAAGGACUUUGGGUUCCAAAAAGUUCAUUGGUGUACGGAACAGAUCAAGGGGUCGAAGUUUUAGCGAGGGAUUAUGUUCUCCUUUUAUUUAGCAAGAAUAUUAUCAUUAACAACUCUCAAUUACCUCAACGGCCUCAACUAUCUAAAGCAAUGAAAGAAGUCCUAAAUGUAUUGGCUGUAGAGCGGCCAGCCUUUAGUGAUUGGAAACUCAAAGAGCUACCUGAUAUAAGUUUCAUAAAACGCAAUCCCUCUAUUGUACAGAAACAAGAGGAAGAGUGGGAAUGCUUGGAAAAGAAAAUUAACGAUCUUCUUUUUGGAGGAAGAAAUGGGCCUGGUGUGAAGACCUCUUCAAAGUCUAAUACCACAAACAACCCUGCAGCACCCAAAAGUUCCAAUAGAGUAGCUACAAGGGCUCCAAAUGGAGCACCCUCAAAAACUGCAAUGCCGGAAGAAGUUCGAGAGGCUGUAACGAAAGCCCUUCAGAAACUUUUUAAAAGUAUCAAGGUUUGCAGUUUUCAACAGAUCAGCCAGAGGUUAAGGGAUAUGGCAGUUUCUGAGUCUAAACGUUCAACGGGAUUUGCUAGAGAAGCAGUAGCUGCAGCAAACAGCAUUGAUGCUUUCCCAGAUGAGCUUCAGGCAAUCAUCAGUCAAGUAGCUGUUAAUAUUCAUGGCAUCUGCGUUCCAAAAUCAUCACCCGAUAAUCCACAAUAUGAUCCAUUCAGGAAAAUUGUUAUUGAUCUUUUCCUUGCUGAAGGACCAAAUGCUAAGCUUAAAAAGGCUCCCAUACUUGAGGCUGCUAAGAUGGAACUCAAAAGGGAUAUAUCUCCAAUUGAGUAUCAGAAGGUCUUGCAGGAACUGUGUUUAUCACAAGGUUCUGCUUGGGUCCUGAGGAGUGCUGAUGGAAACCCAUAGCACUCAAGUUUAUACUGUCAAAUCCGUAAACCAAUAUAUGAGAUGCGCACAUAAGUGUGUAUUUUCUUAUAUAUCGGUUUACACCUGCCUUUUGGAAGCAGAAAGGUAUGUGAUAUCGAGAUCAUGGUUGCUGGCUGGUUGUUUGGACAUUCAUCCUUCUAUUGGAGCUCUUAGUUAAGUUGUAGAAGGAAUGAAUCUCUUUGCUGCAUCUGAAAUUCAUGGGGGGAACAAUCGGCCAUCUGAGAAAUUUGUUAUACUACGGAUGACACGAUUACUUUGUACUGCUUGAUAAUUGGAAAAGGCAGCGUAGAAUACAUCUCAAUUAGAAACUUUUAGGACACACCUUCAAGCACACAAAGUGAUCGACUGUAUAGAAAAACGAAUAUUAGUCUUUUCCUCCCAUGUUGUGGCUAAUUGUCGGAACAAAAUAUUGCAAAGAGUUUAUAAGUUUACCCGAA